GCCUGCCUUAUAAUUAGGGGCCGGAUUUGUAGAAGCCGUUUUAGUUUAAGUGGGAAUUUACCUGCUGGGUUUUGGUUAUGGGCGGGGCCAGUAACUAUAUAAGGCAGGAGGCACAGGUGUGUGUAAAUGCAUUCUUUUGUUUUGGGUUAGAUGGAGCGUCAUGAGUAACGCUUUUUGACCGUGACCUAUUUGAGCCUGUUUUUGAGUAUGUUUUCAGUGGAAGAAAAUGGAAAAACUCUCAUGGAAUAAACUGAGAUUGAACUACGGACCUUGUAUAACGUAUUUAAAGUGGUCAGCGCACAAACAGCACAGUUAUGAGUCGUGAUCCGGUUUCAGUGGCCCCCUGACCCCAUGCAGCUCCCGGAGAGCCACUGGGACAGUCUGACAGGACUUCCUGCUGGGAGCCAAGUUUUUUUUCCUCUUUUUUGAGCAUGAAUUUCGACAAUUCAAACUUCCGCUCAAUGACAAGCUACGAGUCCCAUGCUGGAAAAAGGUCCCAUGUGUUUGAAGCAUCUAGGCCGCUCCAUCUUUUUGAUCAGCAGCUCGGCUGUGAAUUCUGCAGAUCAGAAAGUGGAUCAGAGGCUCCCUGGGGACCGCCAUUUAUGCCUGCCACCAGCGGAGGAUAGAGAACGUAAUUAAGAGUUUGUUAAGAUGCCCAAAUUCCUUCUUAUUUCCACCCGCCUCCCUCCAUCCGCCUCCUAUCCCUCCCCCUCCUGCUCCCGGUAGCUCUGAUCUCGCCACAGAUUAAACCUCUCAUUCCCCGAGAAGACAGAGCCACGGAGGGGAGCUGCAUCUCCAGCCACACAGGCUGAUUAUCUUAAAGAGUAAUUAGUGAGUGUGACAAUCUCUGAGACAGAGCACGGUGUCGACAUGAUGGAGACGGAUUAUUCUGACUGGGGUGUACACGGGCCCCUCUGAAAGGCACAAAAAAGAGGAGAGCAUGUGUUGCAUGUGUGUUAAUUAUCAAUGUCACUCACUCUUUAUGUGUCUUUACGUGCUUGUUAGUAAUUACUGUUCAUGUAUGUAUAUGUAUCAGUGUCAGUCAGUCAGUCAGCCAGCGACUUCCAAACACCGCAAGGCAACAAUUAUCCCCUCAAUAAUAUGCAGCUCGGGCUUAGUACAUACUGUGAAAGAUUUGAUACUGAAUGCUAAUUGAUCUGGAAGCUGAUUGUUAUUUUUGUGGGGGAGGGUGAAGACGUGAAAACAGAUUGUUCUUGCAUUGAAAUGUGUCUGUGUUGUUCAGUAUAAGCAUACAACUCACAUAUAACAAAGACAAAGUACAUUAGCAUAACAUACAUGUGGGUAAAAAGUCUCUCUU